rnacentral:lncRNA from 1 species
CCAUUACCCAAUUAGGUGCUGUGUGGGGAGGUGCAUUAUUCCAUUACGCCUGCAGGAUUCAUGAAAAAGACAUGACACAGACACAAAUUGUGGUGCAGUGAAGUACUACUCAAGUCUAAAUAAGUAUAAUGCUGAACCACUGCAAUCAAGGACCUGUUCCAAUCAAUUGCUGUUGGAGGGGAGGUGUUUCCUGAUUGAUGACUCCGCCCACUAAUCAGCAC